UACGUAGGUGGCAAGCGUUGUCCGGAAUCACUGGGCGUAAAGCGCGCGCAGGCGGCGAUCUACGUCUGGGGUGAAAGCCCGGGGCUCAACUCCGGGACUGCCUUGGAUACGGGAUCGCUUGAGAAUUGGAGAGGCAAGGGGAAUUCCACGUGUAGCGGUGAAAUGCGUAGAUAUGUGGAGGAACACCUGUGGCGAAGGCGCCUUGCUGGCCAAUUUCUGACGCUGAGGCGCGAAAGCGUGGGGAGCAAACAGG
rnacentral:rRNA from 1 species